GACGAACGCUGGCGGCGCGCCUAACACAUGCAAGUCGAACGGAGCUUAGAGAGCUUGCUUUUUAAGCUUAGUGGCGAACGGGUGAGUAACGCGUGAGUAACCUGCCCUAGAGUGGGGGACAACAGUUGGAAACGACUGCUAAUACCGCAUAAGCCCACGGUACCGCAUGGUACUGAGGGAAAAGGAUUUAUUCGCUUUAGGAUGGACUCGCGUCCAAUUAGCUAGUUGGUGAGGUAACGGCCCACCAAGGCGACGAUUGGUAGCCGGACUGAGAGGUUGAACGGCCACAUUGGGACUGAGACACGGCCCAGACUCCUACGGGAGGCAGCAGUGGGGGAUAUUGCACAAUGGGGGAAACCCUGAUGCAGCGACGCCGCGUGGAGGAAGAAGGUUUUCGGAUUGUAAACUCCUGUCGUUAGGGACGAUAAUGACGGUAC
rnacentral:rRNA from 1 species